UUCUGUUGCUUUAAAGUCCCCAGUUUGUGGCAGUUGGUUAUGGAAGCCUGAGGAAACGAAGAUGAUAUACAAGGCUCUGUCCUGAUCUGGGGUCAAGGACAAUCCCUUGAGGAAGUGACAUUUGAAUGGAGGCCUGAAGAGUGUAUAGGUGUUGGCAGCAGAGUGCAUUCCCAGUGGAAAGACCAGCAGGUGCAAAAAGCCCUGAGCCAGGAAGGGGGACCUGGGGAAGGACGGAGAGGGCUGGUGUGCUGGGGACCAAGGAGACGAUGCCAAAUGUGUCCCGCGGGAGCCCCAGAGGAAUCUGGACUUCUUGCUGAGAGAAUCAGGGAGCUGCUUCAAGCUGGGAGCCCGACAGCCUUCAGCCCCAUGACAUCCAAGCCGUGCUGGCCUCUGCCCAUCAACACAGGACAGGCUGGGCUGCCGCGUGUGUGGCGGGAUGUGUGCAGGGCAGACUGUCCGUAAGCAGCUAGAACCCCUUGGUGCGCAGCUGGUGUCAGUGAGUGGGCAGAUGGAGACGGAACCCGGACAAGGUGCCUUUGCUGGGUAACGAGAGAGGUGACGAGUGAGCAGGCCGGGGUGGGGGCAAGUGAUGCGCUGGGUCCCCAGCUGGAGAGCCACUGAGUUCAGACCCACUCUGCACUCCGCCGCUCAAGAGAGUCAAGACAGGCAAACGUGGUCACCGCACACCUGGCGCAGGACCCACCUGGCAGGUGAUGUCACUGUGACCCUUAGCGUGAUGGAACGGUGGCGCUGAGUCAGAAAG